rnacentral:rRNA from 1 species
UACGUAGGUGGCAAGCGUUGUCCGGAUUUACUGGGCGUAAAGGGAGCGUAGGCGGAUAUUUAAGUCAGAUGUGAAAUACCCGAGCUUAACUUGGGUGCUGCAUUUGAAACUGGAUAUCUGGAGUGCAGGAGAGGAAAGUGGAAUUCCUAGUGUAGCGGUGAAAUGCGUAGAGAUUAGGAAGAACACCAGUGGCGAAGGCGACUUUCUGGACUGUAACUGACGCUGAGGCUCGAAAGCGUGGGGGAGCAAACAGG